rnacentral:rRNA from 1 species
ACGUAGGGUGCGAGCGUUAAUCGGAAUUACUGGGCGUAAAGCGUGCGCAGGCGGCUUUGCAAGACAGAUGUGAAAUCCCCGGGCUUAACCUGGGAACUGCAUUUGUGACUGCAAGGCUAGAGUACGGCAGAGGGGGAUGGAAUUCCGCGUGUAGCAGUGAAAUGCGUAGAUAUGCGGAGGAACACCGACGGCGCAGGCAGCGUCCUGGCCGCUUGCUGACACUGAGGCACGAAAGCUGGGGGAGCAAACAGGA